rnacentral:rRNA from 1 species
GGCCGAUUUAGCCUGCUAGUUGCACGAGUUUAGACUCGUAGCAUAUAGCUCAGUAACACGUGGCCAAACUACCCUACAGACCGCGAUAACCUCGGGAAACUGAGGCCAAUAGCGGAUAUCACUCUCAGACUGGAGUGUCGAGAGUGAGAAACGUUCCGGCGCUGUAGGAUGUGGCUGCGGCCGAUUAGGUAGAUGGUGGGGUAACGGCCCACCAUGCCGAUAAUCGGUACAGGUUGUGAGAGCAAGAGCCUGGAGACGGUAUCUGAGACAAGAUACCGGGCCCUACGGGGCGCAGCAGGCGCGAAACCUUUACACUGCACGACAGUGCGAUAGGGGGACUCCGAGUGUGAGGGCAUAUAGCCCUCGCUUUUCUGAACCGUAAGGUGGUUCAGGAACAAGGACUGGGCAAGACCGGUGCCAGCCGCCGCGGUAAUACCGGCAGUCCAAGUGAUGGCCGAUAUUAUUGGGCCUAAAGCGUCCGUAGCUUGCUGUGUAAGUCCAUUGGGAAAUCGACCAGCUCAACUGGUCGGCGUCCGGUGGAAACUACACAGCUUGGGGCCGAGAGACUCAACGGGUACGUCCGGGGUAGGAGUGAAAUCCUGUAAUCCUGGACGGACCACCAAUGGGGAAACCACGUUGAGAGACCGGACCCGACAGUGAGGGACGAAAGCCAGGGUCUCGAACCGGAUUAGAUACCCGGGUAGUCCUGGCUGUAAACAAUGCUCGCUAGGUAUGUCACGCGCCAUGAGCACGUGAUGUGCCGUAGUGAAGACGAUAAGCGAGCCGCCUGGGAAGUACGUCCGCAAGGAUGAAACUUAAAGGAAUUGGCGGGGGAGCACACAACCGGAGGAGCCUGCGGUUAAUUGGACUCACGCCGGACAUCUCACCGGUCCCGACAGUAGUAAUGACAG